UGGGUAAACUGGAUGAUCGCGUGAUUUAACGAUUACGAGGAAAGUCCGGGCUCCAUAGGGCAAGGAUGCCAGAUAACGUCUGGCGUAGGUAACUAUAGGGAAAGUGCAACAGAAACAUUCCGCCGAAACGGGUAAUGCCGUGGUAAGGUUGAAAUGGUGAGGCAAGAGCUCACCGGCAUCAUGGAGACAUGGUGGCCGUGUAAACCCCAUCCGGAGCAAGACUAAGAAAGGCAUGAAAUGCGGCGGCCCGUCGCAGCCGGUAGGUAAGUCGCUUGAAGCAGCUAGCGAUAGCUGCUCUAGAUGGAUGAUCAUCAAAUACAGAACCCGGCUUAUAGUUUGCCCAUUUU
rfam:Mogibacterium pumilum strain ATCC 700696 genome.